GAUGAAGAACGUAGCGAAAUGCGAUAAGUAAUGUGAAUUGCAGAAUUCAGUGAAUCAUCGAAUCUUUGAACGCACAUUGCGCCCCUUGGUAUUCCGAGGGGCAUGCCUGUUCGAGCGUCAUUAUAACCCCUCAAGCUCAGCUUGGUGUUGGGGCCUGCUGCACUGGCAGCCCUUAAAAUCAGUGGCGGCGCCAUCUGGCUCUAAGCGUAGUAAUUCUUCUCGCUAUGGAGUCCUGGUGGAUGCUUGCCAUCAACCCCCAAUUUUUCUAUGGUUGACCUCUGAUCAGGUAGGGAUACCCGCUGAACUUAAGCAUAUCAAUAAGCGGAGGA
rnacentral:misc_RNA from 1 species